rnacentral:rRNA from 1 species
GACGAACGCUGGCGGCGUGCCUAAUACAUGCAAGUAGAACGCACAGUUUAUACCGUAGCUUGCUACACCAUACACUGUGAGUUGCGAACGGGUGAGUAACGCGUAGGUAACCUGCCUGGUAGCGGGGGAUAACUAUUGGAAACGAUAGCUAAUACCGCAUAAUAUUGAUUAUUGCAUGAUAAUUGAUUGAAAGAUGCUAUUGCAUCACUACCAGAUGGACCUGCGUUGUAUUAGCUAGUAGGUGAGGUAACGGCUCACCUAGGCGACGAUACAUAGCCGACCUGAGAGGGUGAUCGGCCACACUGGGACUGAGACACGGCCCAGACUCCUACGGGAGGCAGCAGUAGGGAAGCUUCGGCAAUGGACGAAAGUCUGACCGAGCAACGCCGCGUGAGUGAAGAAGGGUGUCGGAUCGUAAAGCUCUGUUGUAAGAGAAGAACGGGUGUGAGAGUGGAAAGUUCACACUGUGACGGUAUCUUACCAGAAAGGGACGGCUAACUACGUG